GCCGGAGUGGUGAAAUUGGUAGACACGCUUGGCUUAGGACCAAGUGCCUUCGGGUGUGGGGGUUCAAGUCCUCUCUCCGGUACCA
rnacentral:tRNA from 1 species